CUGCAGAAGAAGAGCGGGGAGAACAUCAACAACAAGAUGCAACUGGUGAUGAAGAGCGGCAAGUACACGCUUGGCUACAAGACCGUCCUCAAGACGCUGUGCAUCUCCAAGGGUAUGGAUCUUUUUGUCACUGUUGAUUGA
rnacentral:rRNA from 1 species